rnacentral:rRNA from 1 species
UACGUAGGGGGCAAGCGUUGUUCGGAUUCAUUGGGCGUAAAGGGUGCGUAGGCGGCGCGGUAAGUCGGGGGUGAAAUCUCGGGGCUUAACUCCGAAACUGCAUUCGAUACUGCCGUGCUUGAGGACUGGAGAGGAGACUGGAAUUUACGGUGUAGCGGUGAAAUGCGUAGAUAUCGUAAGGAAGACCAGUGGCGAAGGCGGGUCUCUGGACAGUUCCUGACGCUGAGGCACGAAAGUGUGGGGAUCAAACAGG